UUAUUUUGUAAAAAUAGAUAAAAAGUAUACAGUAUUAUAUUUAAAAUGAGAUCAUCUUUAUUUGAUAAAUUUACGACGCAGGUUUUUUGGUAUUUGAGUGGAGUAACUUACCAUAUUUUUGUUGCGAGGCACUUCGGCAAAACACCGUCAUAUGGCGUAAGUAUGAACAUAACAAAGUUUGGAGCUUAGAACUUACCGGGAAAUACGAGAAAAAUCAUGAAUCCGCCCCUGAUCUCAUAAAGUCAAUCACUUCGCGCGGUCACACGCUUUUUCUAUUGUUAAAAAAAAAAGCUAUUUAAGUUAAAGUCAAAUUAAAAGCAAUUAACUUAAAA